UAGGUCAUCCCUUUGGCAUGGGUUUACACUUUUUAUCAAUGUUGUUGUUCGUUUCUUUCUGGCGUCGAGCGAUAUUGCUCUUGUUGAUCCAUAUCAUAACAUCUUUGUUAUGUUUUGUGUUAUCAGUUGUGCAUCUUUUGAAAGAUGUUCACUAAUUUUUUGUGGUUGUGAGAUUUUUGAGAGUCCUGGCGAUUCGAAAGUUCAUAUCCUUUUCAAUCGGGGAAAAGAUACUUCAAGUAGACGAGAAAUUUCAGAUAUUGAUUCCUCUUCUCGAUCAAUUGAAAGAUCGGGGAACCCAAUUGUCUGUGUCUUGUCCUUAUCUACCCUUGUUCAUAUUUGUUUCCAUGACUACCGUUAAGGGAUUAGUCACUGUUGCCAAGAUUUUUCUAUGGAAAGAGAAAGAGUUUUUUGCUAUGUUUAUCUCCCUUUAUGCACUUUGAGCUGUUCUUCUCCUAUGAGCAAUCUUCAGGAGAUGGAUCUAAGUCUUCUUUGCAGUUAGGUUUGGUAUUUUGUGAGUUUAGGAGCAGGGUUGUCUGUGUAAGAUAUCUUCAUAUUGAAUUGAUGAAGGCCAAAGAGGAUCGUUAUGAUAGAAGGUGGGUGGUUUCAUCCUAUUGUUGGUUUCGACCUAAGGAGUAUGAGAAAGCUAAAUGAUCCCUCUUUCGAUCUGAAACCGUCUCGCCCUAGUCCUUUGA